GACGAACGCUGGCGGCGUGCCUAAUACAUGCAAGUCGAGCGCUUCUUUCCUCCCGAGUGCUUGCACUCAAUUGGAAAGAGGAGUGGCGGACGGGUGAGUAACACGUGGGUAACCUACCCAUCAGAGGGGGAUAACACUUGGAAACAGGUGCUAAUACCGCAUAACAGUUUAUGCCGCAUGGCAUAAGAGUGAAAGGCGCUUUCGGGUGUCGCUGAUGGAUGGACCCGCGGUGCAUUAGCUAGUUGGUGAGGUAACGGCUCACCAAGGCCACGAUGCAUAGCCGACCUGAGAGGGUGAUCGGCCACACUGGGACUGAGACACGGCCCAGACUCCUACGGGAGGCAGCAGUAGGGAAUCUUCGGCAAAGGACGAAAGUCUGACCGAGCAACGCCGCGUGAGUGAAGAAGGUUUUCGGAUCGUAAAACUCUGUUGUUAGAGAAGAACAAGGACGUUAGUAACUGAACGUCCCCUGACGGUAUCUAACCAGAAAGCCACGGCUAACUACGUG
rnacentral:rRNA from 1 species